AGAAGAGGAAGUCGUAACAUGGUAAGCCUACCGGAAGGUGGUCUUGGAAUCAGAACAUAGCUUAACUAAAGCAUUUUGCUUACACCAAAAAAAUAUCUUAUGGAUUGUUCUGAUACUGUAAAUUUAGCCUUAAAACCUUCCCUCUCCUUCACCUAAUUAAACCAUUUAAACUAUGUUAGUAUGAGUGACAGAAAACCUAAUAGCGCAAUAAAUAAAGUACUGCAAAGGAAAAAUGAAAUAGAAAUUAAAUAACACAAAAGUAUAAUAAAGUAAAGAUAAACACUUAUACCUUUUGCAUAAUGAUUUAGCAAGUCUACACCAACAAAAAUAUUUACGCCGGACAUCCCGAAACCAAACGAGCUACCUUAGAGCAGUAACUGAACACACCCUUCUCUGUAGCAAAAGAGUGGGAAGACUCUCAGGUAGAGGUGAAAAACCAAACGAGUAUGGAGAUAGCUGGUUAUUUGGGAAAUGAAUUAAGUUCAACUUAAAACGAAUACACCAACAGGGUAAUAUAUUGCGUUUUCAGUAUAAUAAAUUAGGGUACAGCCUAUUUUAUAAAGGGAACAGCCUAUAUACAUGAAUAAGGAUUAUAAUAUAAUUAAUAAUUGAGUAGGCCUAAAAGCAGCCAUCAAAAAAGCGUCACAGCUUGAUCAUAAAUUAUAAAACAUUUAAAUAAAUUAUCUAAAUUCAAUCCACAACCAAAUCAAUCUAUUUAUAGAUAAGCUACUACUAGAAUGAGUAAUAAGGAACCCCUCUAAAUACACAUGUAAAUCAAAAUGAACUCUCACUGAUAAUUAACGAAAACAUUCAUUCUAACAAGAAACUAAAUUAUAUCUAUCGUUAACCCAACACAGGUGUAUGAAAGAAAGACUCAAAGUUCAAGAAGGAACUCGGCAAACCUAGGCUCCGCCUGUUUACCAAAAACAUCGCCUUUCGAUAAAUUAAUAUGAAAGGUCCUGCCUGCCCAGUGAAAAUAUUUAAACGGCCGCGGUAUUAUGACCGUGCAAAGGUAGCAUAAUCACUUGUCUUUUAAAUUAGGACCAGCAUGAAUGGCAAAACGAAAGCCUGACUGUCUCCUUGAACUAGUCAAUGAAAUUAAUCUUCCCGUGCAGAAGCGGGAAUAAAAAUAUAAGACGAGAAGACCCUGUGGAGCUUAAAAAUAAAAUUAUAUAGAUAUUCUAUAAUAACAUUAAAUUUAGGUUGGGGCGACCAUGAGGUAAAAUAUAACCCUCAAGACAACAAUAAGAAGGACACUUCAAACAAAAUAAAGUUUAUAUAUUGACCCAAUAAUGAUCAACGAACCAAGUUACCCCAGGGAUAACAGCGCAAUCCAUUCCCAAAGUCCAUAUCGACGAAUGGGUUUACGACCUCGAUGUUGGAUCAGGACCCCCAAAUGGUGCAACAGCUAUUAAAGGUUCGUUGUCAACGAUAA
rnacentral:rRNA from 1 species